rnacentral:tRNA from 1 species
GUGGCCAAGUGGUUAAGGCAAUGGACUAGAAAUCCAUUGAGGACUCCCACACCCAGGUUCAAAUCCUGCC